AUUGUGAUGGCGUAGUGGUUAGUGCAGACGGCGUGAAGCGUGAGGUCUUGGGUUCGAUCCCCAUCGUAGGG
rnacentral:tRNA from 1 species